CCUACUCAGUUACUCCCAGGACGGCUAGAUUUUAGCCUCGGCUUAUCAGCAGAACUAAUUAGUGUUAACUGUUCUGUGGUCAUAAAGCACACUCCCCUGUCAGGCUGACAACAGCCUGCUUGGCGAUAAUAAAUGAACCCAGGUGUUAUAUCUGGCCAAAUCUGAAUAUGCUGCAACAUGUUUCAGAGAGUUAUCGACCAGUGUAAUUAUCAGUUGUGCCAAAUAUUCAUAGCCAAUACAACAUUUAUUUUGAUAUUUUAUAUUUAUAAAACAGAUUGAGAACCAAAAUGACUUUUCAUAUUCCAUCACUGAGAAAGAAACAUGAUGUUUAAUGAACCAGUGCACAGAUGGAUAAUAUGUUUGAAGUAGAUCAAUGCAAAAUUCAUGUUGAUAAGACUUUAAGUUGGGACAUUUUGGUAUUUAAUAUUUAUCAACCACAGGAUACUACAUCUAAUUAAUUCAUUUAAUUAUAUAAUUUAAGUUCAACACUCCACUAGCAAAUAUCAUGCUGGAUACUCAUGCUGAUAGUCCUGUAAAGUUGUUUAUUAAAAAAAUUGUUUUUUUAACUUACUGAUUAGUAACAUGGUUACCCGUUAUGUAUAUUAUGUGAACAUUUAUUAUGUGAAUUACAAAGGUGAAUUUGGUAUUUGGUGUAUAAAUUAAUGUUUUUUUUCCAUGAAAUGUCCUUGCAAGAAAAGUUUGGGUUACAAUCAUGACAGUACUAAAUAUAAAUGUAUACAGCAACUUAUCAUUCUAUUAUUAUAAAUUGACAAGAAUUCUAUAGAGUUUAUGUGGCAUACUAUUAAUGCUAUUUCAACUUGUUUAUAUGAACAUUAAUAGAUGUACAUUGAAAAAAUAAGGAAUAUUCAAUUGCUUACUUCUGAAUAAUUUGAUAAUUAUGUGUAAUAAAAAAUAUCUGCAUUAUAAUUUUAUAUAACAUAAUUAUAAUUAUGCUCUGAGAUCAUUACAUACUAUUCGCAUAUUCAUAUACUUUACAUAACAUAGUUUAAUUAACAUGUUGUAAAUUCAAUAAUAAACUAUGUACAAGUUUUGAUCUGUUUUUUAUUUUAUUUUAAUCCAUCAUUCAAAUACAAGCACGAUGCUCUUUAUUAAAAUGUGCUUUAGUUAUUUAAUAUUAAUUAACUCUUUGAUACCUAUUAAAAUGCAUGCUCCUGUAUUUUUCUACAAUCAAAUUAUUCAUUUAGUGUGUGAGCAAUGUUUAAAACCCUCUGAAGUCUCAGCAUUCUACACCAGUAUCUUGUAAUUAGAUAUGGCCAAUAAAUCCCCUCUUGUUAUCACUUUCAACAGUGAUCAGCGCUUCACACCAC